rnacentral:miRNA from 1 species
CACGAAACGUUUGUUCGCCACCACAGCAACCUAAAAUAUAUUGUAUUUUUAUGAAUUAUGAUAAAACUACCCAAAUAUUUAUUGUUUUUAUCAUAAUUCAUAAAAAUACAAUAAAUACAAUAUAUUUUAGGUUGCUGUGGUGGCGAACAAACGUUUCGUG